UUAGCCCCUCCCCUUUUGUCAUGUUGUCCUGCGGGAGAGGACUUGGAGCGGGCAGCCUUUAACACGGUUGUUUUGUCUGUAUUCUCGUCAGAAAUAAACCGAGAAUCAUC